rnacentral:sRNA from 1 species
AGCCCAGAGACCUCUCCCAAACCUCAAGGAGCCAGGCACCCUCUGCAGGGUUGAGGGCCUCCCAUCCUGUAUUCCUUCUUACCUAGUGGCUUUCACGAAAGCUCCCUAAAAGCCAGUGACUCCCAUCUUCGCUCCUAGAGUGUGAGAGGCCCUGGCCCUAUCCCCACCCCCCGCCCCCCGCCCCCUGCGAGGCAGGUCUGCACCCCCCAGCCCCCUGGCCACUGGUCCUUUCCCUGCUCUCCUGUCCAGCCCUCGUCCCAGCCUGGCUCUCCAGCGCCUGCCCCCUCUGCCCAGAUGGACCUGGAGCACCCACUGCAGCCCCUUUUUGGGACCCCCACUUCUCUGCUGAAGAAGGAACCACCUGGCUAUGAGGAAGCCAUGAGCCAGCAGCCCAAACAGCAGGAAAAUGGUUCCUCAAGCCAGCAGAUGGAUGACCUGUUUGACAUUCUGAUUCAGAGCGGAGAAAUUUCAGCAGAUUUCAAGGAGCCACCAUCCCCGAAGACAGUCU